GAUGAACGCUAGCGAUAGGCUUAACACAUGCAAGUCGAGGGGCAGCAUGGUCUUAGCUUGCUAAGACUGAUGGCGACCGGCGCACGGGUGCGUAACGCGUAUGCAACUUGCCUCACAGAGGGGGAUAACCCGUCGAAAGACGGACUAAUACCGCGUACACUCCAUCUUGGGCAUCCAAGGUAGAGGAAAUGAAAUUCGCUGUGAGAUAGGCAUGCGUCCCAUUAGCUAGUUGGUGAGGUAACUGCUCACCAAGGCGACGAUGGGUAGGGGAACUGAGAGGUUGAACCCCCACACUGGUACUGAGACACGGACCAGACUCCUACGGGAGGCAGCAGUGAGGAAUAUUGGUCAAUGGGCGAGAGCCUGAACCAGCCAAGUCGCGUGAAGGAUGACUGUCUUAUGGAUUGUAAACUUCUUUUAUACGGGAAUAACAAGAGUCACGUGUGACUCCCUGCAUGUACCGGAUGAAUAAGCAUCGGCUAACUCCGUG
rnacentral:rRNA from 1 species